GACGAACGCUGGCGGCGUGCCUAAUACAUGCAAGUCGAACGCAGUGGGGACGGGUGAUUAACACGUGGGUAACCUCCCAUCAGAGGGGAUAACACUUGGCAACAGGUGCUAAACCGAUACUGAUGGAUGGACCCGCGGGGCAUUAGCUACUUGGGGGGGUAACGGCUCACCAAGUCCACGAUGCAUAGCCGGCCUGAGAGGUUGAUCGGCCACACGGGGACUGAGACACGGCCCAGACUCCUACGGGAGGCAGCAGUAGGGAAUCUUGGGCAAUGGACGAAAGUCUGACCGAGCAACGCCGCGUGAGUGAAGAAGGUUUUCGGAUCGUAAAACUCUGUUGUUAGAGAAGCGGUAUCUAACCAGAAAGCCACGGCUAACUACGUGCCAGCAGCCGCGGUAAUAC
rnacentral:rRNA from 1 species